GACGAACGCUGGCGGCGUGCUUAACACAUGCAAGUCGAGCGAGGGGCAUCUUUCGGGGUGUCACCUAGCGGCGAACGGGUGAGUAACACGUGGGCAACCUGCCCUCAGCUCUGGGAUAACCCCGGAACGGGAGCUAAUACGGAUAUGACCUCUUGAGACAUCUUUUGAGGUGGAAAGAAUUUCGGCUGAGGAUGGGCCCGCGGCCUAUCAGCUUGUUGGUGGGGUAAUGGCCACCAAGGCGACGACGGGUAGCCGGCCUGAGAGGGCGACCGG
rnacentral:rRNA from 1 species